rnacentral:rRNA from 1 species
GAUGAACGCUGGCGGCGUGCUUAACACAUGCAAGUCGAACGAUGAACCGGGUGCUUGCACUCGGGGAUUAGUGGCGAACGGGCGAGUAACACGUGAGCAACCUGCCCCUGACUCUGGGAUAAGCGCUGGAAACGGCGUCUAAUACUGGAUAUGUCCCGUCACCGCAUGGUGUGCGGGUGGAAAGAUUUUUCGGUUGGGGAUGGGCUCGCGGCCUAUCAGCUUGUUGGUGAGGUAAUGGCUCACCAAGGCGUCGACGGGUAGCCGGCCUGAGAGGGUGACCGGCCACACUGGGACUGAGACACGGCCCAGACUCCUACGGGAGGCAGCAGUGGGGAAUAUUGCACAAUGGGCGGAAGCCUGAUGCAGCAACGCCGCGUGAGGGAUGACGGCCUUCGGGUUGUAAACCUCUUUUAGCAGGGACGAAGCGAAAGUGACGGUACCUAAAGAAGAAGCACCGGCUAACUACGUGCCAGCAGCCGCCGUAA